CGGGGUGAGUAAUGUCUGGGAAACUGCCUGAUGGAGGGGGAUAACUGCUGGAAACGGUAGCUAAUACCGCAUAACGUCGCAAGACCAAAGAGGGGGACCUUCGGGCCUCUUGCCAUCGGAUGUGCCCAGAUGGGAUUAGCUAGUAGGUGGGGUAACGGCUCACCUAGGCGACGAUCCCUAGCUGGUCUGAGAGGAUGCCAGCCACACUGGAACUGAGACACGGCCAG
rnacentral:rRNA from 1 species